rnacentral:lncRNA from 1 species
GAACUAAGCACGGUGAAAUCAAUUAUAUGUUAUCUAAUCUCAUCACUGUUAGCACAUAGGCAAAUUAAAUAUCAGAUUGAAUCAUUAAAUUGUCAACAACCUGAUACUACUAUUUUCAUCAUAUAGACAAACAGAUGGAGCUGAGAGAGAGGAAAAAAGAUGAGCCCAAGGUGAAACAGGCAGAACAGGAAUCUGAUCCCCGGUCUGUCUGCAUUAUUAUUGAGUCAACUUACUUGAAGUUUGCACCAUUGCCUGGAAUGCAGUUUUCUUGGCUUUGACCUGAUUCAGCACAGCCCAAGGCUCUCAUUUCCCCAUUCAUUUGGCUUCAUUUUCCUUUUGUUAGGAAUUCCCCACACUUUCCACCACCGGCUCCGGCCACUCCUCCCCCACAUUUCUUCCUCUGCACAGAGCUGAAAGAGCAGGCUUUGCUGCAGUCAGUUUUCUAGAAGCCCCGUUGCCUUCGGAUGGCCAAGCAUCAGCUCAUGCUUUCAUCCUGGAUUGUGCGCUCUUUCCAUCUUAUGCCUGGGGCCCUGUGGAAGAAGUCUCUAGCUAACAUUACAUGGCAUGAUGCAGAGGCCAAAGUGAUAAGCAACGAAGUUCCUUGUUGUAACUACUUCUGCUUCACCAUACAGAGUUAUGAAGAAGGACAUGAGAGGCCACUUCAUGCCUGGGAGCAUUGCAUCUGAGCCCUGGGUUGUCACAGACUCUGACAAUAGGCUGGUUGUGUGGGUUGUCUAUGUCGUUAGAUUUUGAGAACAUUUUUCAGUUUAUCAAAACUACAUUUAGGAAAAUCUUGCCUGUAAGCUUUGUGAAAAUUGGCUUCUUUUCUAGGAGAAUUUGUUGUAUUUGGUUAUAUGCUGCCUAAACUAAUGGGGAAUGAUGGAUGUGUAUCAUUUGUUUUACUAAAUUAUUAACAAUUCCUUGAAAUACAGAAAAAAAAUAUUUCUGGCAGAUAGCAUGUUGCAGUGGAAUGGAUGUGGCAGGCAAAGACUGAAGGUGUUGGCUUAAAUUCUGGCUCAACUUCCUGGAAGAUAACACAAAAUUGAACUGCAGUUUGCGCUCAAUGCAUGUCAGUCCUCCCUCACCAGUUAUAUCAACUUGGGAAAGUCGGUUAUGCUUCCUGAAUCCCAGUUUGUUUGUUCAUUAUUGUGUUCAUUCAUUCAUUCAUUCACCUCUUGAGUUUAUACUAAGUUUCAGGCAGAAUCUGAGGGCCUAAGGAAGGCACUGCACUUUGUGUCUUUCUUCUUCUGUCAAAUGCCCAUGAUGCUACUUCCUUGAGCUCCAAAAUAUUUGUCAUGUGCAGACAUCUUAUGAAGUUGAAAGCAUGACACAGAAUUGGUAAUUACGCUUUUAAAAAUUGUGGCUUAUAAAAAAUCACUA